rnacentral:rRNA from 1 species
UACGUAGGGUGCGAGCGUUGUCCGGAAUUAUUGGGCGUAAAGAGCUUGUAGGCGGUUUGUCGCGUCUGCUGUGAAAAUCCGAGGCUCAACCUCGGACUUGCAGUGGGUACGGGCAGACUAGAGUGUGGUAGGGGAGACUGGAAUUCCUGGUGUAGCGGUGGAAUGCGCAGAUAUCAGGAGGAACACCGAUGGCGAAGGCAGGUCUCUGGGCACUUACUGACGCUGAGGAGCGAAAGCGUGGGGAGCGAACAGG